rnacentral:rRNA from 1 species
AACGAACGCUGGCGGCAUGCCUAACACAUGCAAGUCGAACGAGACGUUCGGGUCGAGUGGCGCACGGGUGCGUAACGCGUGGGAACCUGUCCUUAGGUUCGGCAUAACUCCCCGAAAGGGGUGCUAAAACCGGAUAAUGUCUUCGGACCAAAGAUUUAUCGCCCUUGGGUGGGCCCGCGUUGGAUUAGCUAGUUGGUAGGGUAAAAGCCUACCAAGGCGACGAUCCAUAGCUGGUCUGAGAGGAUGAUCAGCCACACUGGGACUGAGACACGGCCCAGACUACGACGGGAUGCAGCAGUUGGGAAAAUUGGAGGAUGGGCGAAGGCCGGAUGCAGCGUUGGAGAAUGGGGAAUGAUGGGUUGAGGGUUGUAAAGCUCUUUUACCCGGUAUGAUGAUGACGGUACCGGGGAAAUAGGAUCCGGUUAAUUCCUU